GAAGAGAGAAGAAGAGGGAGAAGAGGAAGACCUUAAAUCCCCUUCUUUCCUUAAAAAUUUCUGCAAAACUUGGCCUGCAGUACAUCCUUUAUAUAUUAACCCUAAUUUCUGAACCCAACACUGGGACAUCUGGUAUGAUAAGCAAAAGUAAUAUUGUUUUAUCUGGGAAAAGUAUAUAUAUAAAAGAAAAAAUCAGUGGAUAAAAAAUUGAACUCCAAUGCACCCCAGACGAGGAAUUUGGAUAAAUAUUUGCUUCCCUUCUAAAGAGAUAUACCAAUAUUAAAAUCAUGUCAGAGUAAGACCCA
rnacentral:lncRNA from 1 species